AUGCCACAAUUGCAAAUCUUGAGGGUGAGAUCAAACAUGUUUAGCGGUCAUAUUCCUAAGAACCUUACUGACCUUGAAAGUCUUUAUCAUUUGGAUAUAGCCCGUAACAAUAUUUCUGGAAGCAUACCAUGGUCACUAUCAAGCUUGAAAGCAAUGAGAGUCAUAUCUCGGAAAAGGUUAGGCUAUGAUUUUGAGGAGAAUGAUUUAGAGGUGAGUGAUUUUGAGGAGAGCAUACCAGUCAUUACAAAAGGCCAAACACGUGACUAUACCUUUGGCAUAUACGGGCUAGUGGUGAAUCUUGAUUUUUCAUGUAAUAGUUUAACAGGACAGAUUCCAGAGGAGAUAAAAUUGCUGAUUGGGCUCACCAAUUUGAACUUAUCAAGUAAUCAGUUGAUUGGCAAAAUCCCAAUUCAGAUUGGUGCUCUAAAGCAGCUAGAGUCCCUCGACCUAUCCUAUAACAAGCUUUCUGGUGAAAUCCCAUCUGGUUUGUCAGCUCUAACCUCUCUAAGCUACUUGAACCUGUCAUACAACAACUUAUCAGGCAUGAUACCAUCCGGGCCCCAGCUACAAGCUCUUGACAACCAGAUUGAUAUCUACAUCGGCAACCCCGGUCUAUGUGGCUACCCUCUCUCCAAAAACUGCUCUGCUAGUACUACUGAUGCAGAGCCAAGUGUCGACCAUGAAGAUGUAGAUCAUAUUUCAUAUCUCUACCUUGGGAUGGGCAUAGGAUUUGUGGUCGGCCUUUGGGUGGUGUUUUGCACCAUGUUACUGGAAAGAAGCUGGACGAUUGCUUACUUCCAGAUCAUUGAUAAGCUGUAUGAUGAGGUUUAUGUACGAGUGGCUAUAACUUGGGCUCGCCUCAUGAAGAAGACCCACGACGACGCAGUGUGA
rnacentral:rRNA from 1 species